rnacentral:rRNA from 1 species
GUGUCAGCAGCCGCGCGGUAAUACGAAGGUCCCAAGCGUUGUUCGGAAUCACUGGGCGUAAAGGGAGCGUAGGCUGUGCGGUAAGUUAGAUGUGAAAUCCCGGGGCUCAACCCCGGAACUGCAUCCGAUACUGCCAUACUAGAGGAUUGGAGAGGUAGCUGGAAUUCACGGUGUAGCAGUGAAAUGCGUAGAUAUCGUGAGGAACACCAAUGGCGAAAGCAAGCUACUGGACAACUCCUGACGCUGAGGCUCGAAGGCCAGGGUAGCGAAAGGGAUUAGAUACCCCUGUAGUCCUGGCAGUAAACGGUGCGCGCUUGGUGUGAGAGGAUUCGACCCCUCUUGUGCCGGAGCUAACGCGUUAAGCGCGCCGCCUGGGAAGUACGGUCGCAAGACUAAAACUCAAAGAAAUUGACGGGGACCCGCACAAGCGGUGGAGUAUGUGGCUUAAUUCGAUGCAACGCGAAGAACCUUACCAAGGCUUGACAUGCAUCUCUAAUCGCGUGAAAGCGCGUGACCCUUCGGGGGAUUUGCACAGGUGCUGCAUGGCCGUCGUCAGCUCGUGUCGUGAGAUGUUGGGUUAAGUCCCGCAACGAGCGCAACCCCUGUGAUCAGUUGCCAGCACAUAAUGGUGGGAACUCUGGUCAGACUGCCCAGAUCAACUGGGAGGAAGGUGGGGACGACGUCAGGUCAGUAUGGCCCUUACGCCUUGGGCUGCAGACGUACUACAAUGCCCAGUACAAUGAGAACCGAUACCGCGAGGUGGAGGAAAUCUACAAAACUGGGCCCAGUUCGGAUUGGAGGCUGCAACUCGCCUCCAUGAAGUCGGAACGCUAGUAAUGGCACAUCAGCUACGGUGCCGUGAAUACGUUCCCGGGUCUUGCACACACCGCCCGUCAAUCCAUAUGAC